rnacentral:rRNA from 1 species
ACGGGUGCGUAACGCGUUCACAAUCUGCCUUAUACUGGAGCAUACCCCCAAGAAAUUGGGACUAAUUCUCCAUAAUAUAUUUGAGUGGCAUCAUUUGAAUAUUAAAACUCCGGUGGUAUAAGGUGAGUGUGCGUCCGAUUAGGUAGUUGGUGAGGUAACGGCUCACCAAGCCGACGAUCGGUAGCUGGUCUGAGAGGACGAUCAGCCACACGGGCACUGAGACACGGGCCCGACUCCUACGGGAGGCAGCAGUAGGGAAUAUUGGACAAUGGGCGCAAGCCUGAUCCAGCCAUCCCGCGUGAAGGAUUAAGGCCCUAUGGGUUGUAAACUUCUUUUCUCUGGGAAUAAAAAGCGGGAUUUAUCCUGCCUUGAAGGUAUCAGAGGAAUAAGCACCGGCUAACUCCGUGCCAGCAGCCGCGGUAAUACGGAGGGUGCAAGCGUUAUCCGGAUUCACUGGGUUUAAAGGGAGCGUAGGUGGCUUUGUAAGUCAGUGGUGAAAUGUCGCAGCUUAACUGCGAAACUGCCAUUGAUACUGCUUAGCUUGAAUCACGUCGAGGUGGAUGGAAUAUUGCAUGUAGCGGUGAAAUGCUUAGAUAUGUAAUAGAACACCGAUUGCGAAGGCAGUUCACUAGGCGUGUAUUGACACUGAGGCUCGAAAGCGUGGGGAUCAAACAGGAUUGGAUACCCUGGUAGUCCACGCCCUANACGAUGUAAACUCGACAUUAGCGAUAUACUGUUAGUGUCCAAGCGAAAGCGUUAAGUUUACCACCUGGGAAGUACGACCGCAAGGUUGAAACUCAAAGGAAUUGGCGGGGGUC